rnacentral:rRNA from 1 species
CCUACGGGCGGCAGCAGUGGGGAAUAUUGGACAAUGGGCGAAAGCCUGAUCCAGCCAUGCCGCGUGUGUGAAGAAGGCCUUCGGGUUGUAAAGCACUUUCAGUGGGGAAGAAAGCCUUGGGGCUAAUACCCUCGAGGAAGGACAUCACCCACAGAAGAAGCACCGGCUAACUCGGUGCCAGCAGCCGCGGUAAUACGGAGGGUGCGAGCGUUAAUCGGAAUUACUGGGCGUAAAGCGCGCGUAGGCGGUCUGAUAAGCCGGUUGUGAAAGCCCCGGGCUCAACCUGGGAACGGCAUCCGGAACUGUCAGGCUAGAGUGCAGGAGAGGAAGGUAGAAUUCCCGGUGUAGCGGUGAAAUGCGUAGAGAUCGGGAGGAAUACCAGUGGCGAAGGCGGCCUUCUGGACUGACACUGACGCUGAGGUGCGAAAGCGUGGGUAGCAAACAGGAUUAGAUACCCGAGUAGUC